AAACAUUAUUAGCCAUCAAGAUGAAAACAUCAUUGAAGUGAAAGUCAAAAACAAUCCUGACUCCAUUCGGGCACAAAUACUACAACUUGCUGAAGAAAUUCAGCUCGAAGAUGUCUUGCGUCAGCUUAGCACGCCUCCUAUCAACUCUUCCAACAGCGGAGCCUUGGUGAGUUUGACUUCCGUCCAAGGUUUGAUGUUGCUUAGCAACAAUUAGAUGCUUGGCAUCAACAAAUUGUUCUGUACGAAUCGCUCGAACGUAAACGAUCUGAUCCAACAGAUAGAGCAGGCGUUGCGAGACUCGUCUGUUAAUGUGACUGAAUUCGAUAUAUUGCUUUCCAAUAAUGUGAACCUUAUGCCUGAAGAGCAGUAUGCGAUUGACGCCAUUCAACAACAGUAGUCGGGAAUUCCCGGGUUUGGGGUGGUGACUUUGUCGUCGGGACUCUCUUUCUUUUGCCUGGUCGCAGAGGCAGCAGCAACAAGAACAACAGAGCUAGUUCCUAGCAAUCAUAGAUUGGUACCCUGCUGAAAAACAGAAUCUCUGGUCAGCUGGUUCCAGAUGCCCAGCAACACUUCCAGGCCAAGGACCUUGGGGCAAAUGCUCAACAUGUCCUAUCUGCAUGGUGAAGCCAGUCUAAUUCUUGGGCUCCAAACUCUCCUGCUGUGGGGCCAAGAUUACCUCAUCCAUAAGAGGGCUUAUACUCACAAGUUCAGGCCCAGAGAACGGUGUUCCCCAACUACAACACAACCAGUACGUCUCAAUAGAGAACACCCUUCCUGAAAACCUCGCUGAGUGCGACUGCGCCAUACGUGACCCUUCAGUGAAAUGAGAUUGCAGGCGGAAUGUCAAACCGGUACUACUCAGGUCUCCAGCAAUAGCCUCAGCCUUGGACGCAGCUUAUCUUGUUAAGUGUUUGGCAGUACCAAGCCUAGUCGACGCAGCAGCAAAAACAACAGUAGCAGUCUAGUGAAGGGUCACCCCGCAACUUUCAGUGCCUAGCAAUGAAAUCAUCCACCGUUACAUGUAGUUGGUUGAGGGUCGCCCAAAACCACCCAGUGCCUUGCAAUGAAAACUUCACGCGUGACUGUGACCUUGCCCUUGUACACACCUAAAGGUCAGGUUGACGAUCAUUUGGGCUUAGAUAGUCACUGCAGUAAGAACGUGUAAGAUUUUAAAGAAGAUGACUUCACAAUAGGACAUCCGAGACUGCAAUGACGAAAUGAGUGUCCUCACUUCAGCAGUGGAAGCCAAUACACAAUACGAGAGUUUCCAGCGGCUUACCUUAUCUGAAAACCUAGGUUGCAGAGCAAUGAGUAUGUCCCAGGAGCAUUUGCAGUCAUCGUCUGCAGAUUAUGAGAUCCCCAUGCUCCACAACCCUCAGUCUAUGAACAUCAUGCAGAGCGAACCUUGGACGUACCUUGACGAAAUCAAACCAGCAAAUCAGAAGGACAGCCUGCUGCUACCGUUGUUAUCAUAUUAACCCCAUACCGAAAAAGCUCAGAGAUAUAAAGGCUGUUUAAGAUGUGCUUGUCUCUACAUACCCCGUGUCUGGUGUGAACAUGUACAAUUGAAGGUCUCUACAUACUCCAUGUCUGGUGUGAACAUGUACAAUUGAAUGUCUCUACAUACUCCAUGUCUGCUGUGAACAUGUACAAUUGAAUGUCUCUACAUACUCCAUGUCUGGUGUGAACAUGUACAAUUGAAGAUCUCUACAUACUCCAUGUCUGGUGUGAACAUGUACAAUUGAAGGUCUCUACAUACUCCAUGUCUGGUGUGAACAUGUACAAUUGAAGGUCUCUGCAUACUCCAUGUCUGGUGUGAACAUGUACAAUUGAAGGUCUCUACAUACCCCAUGUCUGGUGUGAACAUGUACAAUUGAAGGUCUCUACAUACUCCAUGUCUGGUGUGAACAUGUACAAUUGAAGGUCUCUACAUACCCCAUGUCUGGUGUGAACAUGUACAAUUGAAGGUCUCUACAUACUCCAUGUCUGGUGUGAACAUGUACAAUUGAAGGUCUCUACAUACCUCAUGUCUGGUGUGAACAUGUACAAUUGAAGGUCUCUACAUACCCCAUGUCUGGUGUGAACAUGUACAAUUGAAUGUCUCAUCUUUGGAAUUGGGACACGUGGAAAAUUAGUGAUUUGAUUCAGACAGAAAUCGCAUAGUGACAAAUCACAACAAAAAAUGGAAAGCAAGAAAGUCUUGUGGCCAGCAAUGUUUUUAUGUGACCACUAAGUUGUGUUCAAAGAAAAACAAUUGUUCAUGUUUUAUUGGAACUAUGAUGCUGUCAGUCAUUUUAUGUUGAAGGCUUUAAAUAACUAUAUUUAAAUAUAAUCAGAUUAAGAUUACUUGAUAAAAGAAAUAAUGUUAUAUAGUAUUUUAAGCGCAAAAUUUACAAGUCUAUCCAAUUACUGUGUCUGUAUUAUGACAUUUUAUUUUGGAAAUGUUAAGGAAAAUAUAAUGUUAGUAAAUAUAUGUCUAUGAAUGUUGAUUUUGACAUUUGUCAAAGCUGUUUAAAUGAUGCUGGUAACUUCGACAAAAUUUAAAGAAAUGUAUUAUUUUCAUGUAAUGAGACAUGCUUCAGUUUUUUGUGGCUUAACCUGUAAUAUAGAGGUUGUAGUUCCAAGAAUUGUUUAGCCAGAUGGAGAAUGUUUAUGCUAUGGCUUUGAUACUCUUAAGUGUGCCCAUUGGUGUCAGGUUUUUAUCAAGAAUAUUGUUUAUUGUCUAACAAUUUCUUGAAAAUAUUGAUUAAUUUUAGACAAAAUCAUUUAAUCUUCCUUAAAUUGUCUAUUCUGUAUUCACGACCAGUUAUUUAUUAAUUUGCAUGAAUAUGAUUUAUGAAUGACUUUUGUGUUGUUUAAAAUGCUUUAUUUGUUUUGGAACUGAGUAUUUAAAAACGAAAAUAUGAGGUGUAGGAAUAAUGGGCAAAGUUAUGAUAAUUAUUUUUUUGUUUUUGUAAAGUUUAUUAUGCUUUAUAUGUUUGUGUAUAGGCAUUUAGACAACCAGAUUAACUUGACCAAUAAUUCGUGCUCACUGUAUAUAUCGGUCAGUACAUUUGUCACUUGUAUAUAUAGCGAUUGUGAAAUGAUUGUAUUUGCAAUGUAAAUCAUGCGUUUAUUGUUUCCCUUUUUAUUUUCGCUGUUAACAUUUAUUUGUAAUAACAAUUUUCAUCGUGUACAUCUUUUAGGUGCCAGAUAAUAUAAAAAACAUUGCUUGUGGGAAUGCUCAUUUAAAACUUUCUUAAUGAUACAGAACAACACAUUCUGAAGAGGCAAAUAUCCUUUAGACAAAAGGAACAUCUUGUUACUAGUAUAUGUAAUGCCUUUCACUAAAUAAAGUCAAGCAACUAUUGAAAGAUUGGUUUAACUUUAUUUUGCAUUAUUUUAAGAAAAAUUAAUAUAUUCAACUUGGAAAUCAGUCAAUUGCAAAUCAAGCGAGAGUGAUGAAUAUUUUUAAGCAAGAUAGAGGGAUGUUUUUGCUUGAAAAAAAAGUUGUAUCCCUUGUUAGAUAAUGAUUUUGUUCAUCUCUCAACAUAACAAGUGCAUUCAUACAGCUAUCAAAAAUAUGACACACUUAAUACUCAGCCAUCAGUUUGUAUUGGGGUUUUGAGGAAUACUUACUAAACUAAUAUACGUCUGUUCAAUGAAUUAAUAGUUAUGGUACAAUAUGAUACUCAGUGUUAAAAAACAUGUGUAAUAAAAAUAUAAUGGCAUUUAUUUGAAAUCAUAAAAUUUAGUUUUCCAUACAAUGCUUACAGUUUUGCAAUUGCGACGAUAAAGGAAAUUUUCUGCUCAAAAAAAUGUAUGUUAUAGACAUGUGUAUAUUGUAGCAAUUAUAUUGUACUUGUAUUUAUAUUAUACAUGAUAAUAAUUGACUUAUGGCUGAUGAUAGCGGCAGUUUACUAUUUGUGUAACAGUUUGACCAUAUUUCCUUAAACAUGUGAUUGUUUAUAAUGAACUGUAAUUGAAUGCAUGAAACAUUGUUGUUCUGUUGCUUAACAGCUGAAAAUAGCUUGAUGUUUGUUAAUUGUGUGAAAUGUUUCAAAUUAAUCAUAUUGAUACAUAGAAAAUAAAAUUACAUUUUGCGUUAAUUUAAAUGCAUAUCAAACAAUUGUUACCAUACAAGCAUAUUUGCAUUGAACUUAAUUGAUACUUUGAGAUGCAAUUUUUACAUUAAUGUGUAAAUAUUUUCAUCUUUUCCAAAUGAACAUUUUGCAUUUGUAAAUAUAGGGUUUAUAUAAACUUUAUAGAAACUUAUUAAAUGCUUUAUAUAAAUUGAUUGUGUACCUCAUAUUGAUUAAAAACUCUCUUAUUUAUUGCACAGUUGUGUGUGCAUAUGUCUGACUUAUGUCUUCAUAGUCCUUAAAGUUAAAUUACUGUAAAUAGUAUUUUAUAAUAAUGUUAAAAUAUUUAUCUAAACUAUAUACAGGUUAUCUGUUAAAUUAAGUUUCAUACAUUUGCAUUGUCUAGCUAAUUAAAUUGGAGUGUUUAUAUUCUUGCCUACAUGCAGUGUAUGGUUUAGACAAAGCACAUUACACAACUCAUGUUGUUUUAUCCAUCAUUACUAACCAGUGUUAAGUCCGUAGAGGUUAAAGUAUACUAAAUAUUUCGGUUGUGCAAUGCUAUGCUCUCUAAAUAAAUCAACACCAUUUAUUGAUUUUCUAUGUGGGCACCUAAAUUCCUAUGACUUUAUUUGUGAAUAUUUAUUUGAAUGUGCGGUAGGGAAAACAUUGUUUGCUUGAAUGUUAGAAACUUAAGGUUGACAUCUUGAAAGAUGGCAGUAAACAUUUAACUGCAGAGUAGCUGGGGAAAAGAUUGCUGUUAAACAAUGUAAGACAGAACUCCACGCAAGAUAUGUCAUGCAUGCAAUAUGCAUGAACUAUCUUUUUAAACUAAUUUGGAUCUGAAUUAUCUUUAAGAAAUAGUAUGGUUAUGAGGGUCUCUAUGUGCAAAAUGUUGCAUUUAUUUUGUGUACAAGUUAUUGCUUAAACAUUGAAUUUGUUAUGGAAAUAAUAUAGUUUAUGUGACUUAAAGAGAUUUACAUGUUUAUGUUAGUGAUGUGUUUUUGCUGAUCUAAGUCUGUUCCUGCACACUAUUUAAAGUAGAUAACUACAAGUUAUCUCAUUUAAAUGGGAAAAGUAUUGUACUGUGAAAAAGUGUUGUGAAUUCAAAUAAAAAUACUAUGAAC